CGUCCCACGCUUCUGCUGCGUUGCAGGUGUCGAGAGGGAUAGUUACCAGGCUGGAGUUCUCCGUCCUGAAAAGCUCCUGCGACAGCUCUACCAGCUAUUCCAAGAAACAGUGCAAGCCGGUGGGCCCCGAGCAAAGCGGACUAUGCCAGGCAAGAUUCCGCUUUCUUCAUGACCUCAAGCUCGAAGACUUCAUGUGUGACGCUGAAGUUGCAGAAAAUUACGAAGCUCCCUGAAGGCCUUAAACAGAGCUUCCCUUUGCUAAUCAAUGUUCCUCGUUAAAUGGUUGCCCAAUAUAUAUUUAUAUACAAUAAGGGUACUUUUUCGACACGA
rnacentral:lncRNA from 1 species